rnacentral:sRNA from 1 species
GUACACAGGACCAAAAGUGCAGGCACAUCAUUUAUUGAUAAGACAAAAAGAAUGUAAUGAAAUUAUCAAUGUUCUUGAAUUAAUUAUGAACAUGAUUAAGAAAGCUAAAAUCUCAGGAGCCAGGACCUCAUUACCCAUUCAGUCUUAGGGAUUGCUUUCAUUCAGCAAGGCAAAAAGGAGUUGAGCGGCCACAAUCGCCUUCCUCUCAUUUAUUUGUGCUAGAAUUAAGGUUUAUUUGUUUUCUGUUUCCUUCGUCUUCAGAUUGUUUCUCUGUCUCCAUCCAUUUCACAAACCCCUUUCCUCCUGUAUCUCAGAAGGGAGCACCUCCAGGGCCUACAUUUCUGCAGCCCGCACACCUCCUUGAGUGUGUGUCUCUCAGUCUGCUGGAGCUUCUAAAUAUCUCUCAAGCUUUUACGUCCGUACAGAAAUAUGAUAACGGGGAAAUCAUUUUUGACUCCCUUGCUUUGGUGAUACAGCCGCAGACUCAAUGACCUAACAUCCAUCCCAAAGACAAAGCGAAGACCCGAGCAACACUGUCUUCAAGGUAAGAGGAAGGAGACCCUCUGGACACUGGCACAUGGGAGAAGCCAUCCCCCCAAUUUAUAAUGAAUGAACGUCGGAGUAAAUCUCUUCAUUAACCAGAUAGAGCUUUCACUCCCAGGUGGAGAGCAUUAUAGACCACACGUGCUCAAAAUGAAGAAAACAAUUGAUAACAGCUGUGCCUGUCAAGCAUUCGGGAACGCCACAAAACCACCAAGGAGCCGACUCCAACACAAUCACACUAGGGUCUCUAUUCAAGCUGUCUUGGGCCACGCCACCAUCUCUUAUUCAGCUGGAUGGGAGGGUGAAGCUCUCAGAGGGACAAGGUUUGCUAGGAAAUGGCAACACUGAAGGAUGAAAUACUGCGGGUUAAUGUGACAGCGAUUAGUCAGAGGGAAAUCCAUCACCCACUGGCGGAACAGGCUGAAGCAGAAGAGGCCCAGGCGCUGUCCUGUUUCCAACCUGAGAAGAACGAUGCUGUCAACAUCACUUCAAUAUUAAAUGGAUAGAAUUAUCUUGUCGUUCAGUUACAGCCGCUGAAGAACUACCUAUUUGUACCUGCAAAAGGAAAGUGUGUUCCAGUGUUGGCAGAUUGAAAGGCAGUGACCUACAGAUGCAAGAAAAUCCCACAUGUCACAAUAAAGAGACCGGAAAAUAUUUCCAAGUGCACAGAUAGACUGGGGGAAAGUCCUUCAGAUCAGGGAUGCAGGGUUUAACAUAGAAUACACAUGGAAAUCUGAAAGCUAAAAUGAAGGUACUAGGAUCACAAGAAGCUAAGGGGUAUGGUUCAUCAGAGAACCUUCCUUUGCAUCGGAUGACAGUCAACAGAUGCACUCUCGAACGGUCAAAGUGCAGAACACACUUAACGGCGGAGUGCUCAGCCCUAACUAACGUCUGCAUUAGAUCUCUUCACUCCGAGACUCUGAGAACACCACAGAGGAGCCGCCAUCAUGGUUUGAAGAGACAGAGACAGUGGAGGGCUUGUGUGAGAGAGUGUCUUCUGGGCAUGAAAGGGCUCUUACAUCUGAGCUUUCAAGAUAGGAUUGCCCGAGUAGGAUGUGCACCAGAUUCCUCAAAGAUCAAAGAUGGGAGGGACUCCUGAGCUACCACCCUCUCUGGAGUACUAUUGGUGGUUCAUGAAUGCUGGCGUGACUGGAAUCAUUUCUCUUUGGAAGCACGGUCAUUGAUAGGUUUUCCACACUGUCAUGGAUUGCCCCAUGUCUAUGUGCAGGAAUCUACCUUUGUUUUUCUGCUUUAAAUAUUCAGUUUUCCAUAUGAAUGUCUCUGGGUUUUGGUUCCUCCGUAAUUCUUUCACUAGAGUUUUUGUUGUGGAGGGUUUCACUGCUUCAGUUACACUCAUUUCUACCUAUUUUACUGGGAUGAAUUUUACUGCUACUGCUGUUGUUUUUGUCCUUCCCCUCCCCAGAAGUGGGGACAGAACCUAUGGCUUUGAGAAUGCCAGACAUGCGCUGUGCCACUGGGCUUCACUCCAGCCUAUUUAUUAUUUGAUCAGGGGCUAUGGUGAAUUUUUUUUAAUUGUUAGUGUGUUCGUGGUAUAUAAAAUGUUUCUAUUUGUUGCUUGUGUUUCCUAUGACUACUGAGUUUUUCUCUUCCAACACAUUUUAGUCAGUCUUCUCUGUAUAUAAAAUCUUCCCGCAAAAGAGGUUGAUCUGACACCCUCUUUUCUGAUCGAAAAUCUUAUUAUUAUUUUAUUCCUUUCUUCUGAUGAAUUUUCUUACAAAAUUUCCUUUUUCUGUUCCAAAUAAGAGGCAAAUGUAUGUGGACAUCUUUUUUUUUUUCAGAUCUCAGAGGAAACACCUUCAUCUUCUUUCACUUAGCACACAGAAGCAGUGGCUUUAUCAUAUCUAGACCUUUGUGUAGUGAGGUAUCUUCCUCCUACACUUAAUCUCUUCUGGCUUUUUUUUUCAUAAAAGCAUGUUUAACUUCAAUGAAUACUUUUACUGCACCCACUAAUGAAAUUACUUCGAUCCUCUCCUUUGCUGUUGUGAUAUAUUUUGACUUUCCAUUUGUGCGUGUUAAGCCAUCCUUGUAUCUCUGGAAUAAACUCUAUUUAACAAGGUACAUUAUCUUUUUUAUGUGUUCAUUAGUCCAUUUCCCACUUAAAGGAGGAAUGGCUUAUUUGUUCCUGUGGUUUCACAUCAUUGUUGGUCCAUUGCGUUUUGGUUUACAAAAUAGAAACAUCGUGAUUAAAAGGCAUGAGGGCAAAGCAGAGCGGCUCUCUCACCUCACAGUAUCCAAGAAGAGGACAGAGAUAGGAAAAGGGUGAGGGAACAAGAUGCUCCCUUGAAGGGCACAGCCCAGUGACCAACUUCUAACCAGACCCACUUCCUAGGAUUUCUGCCACCUCAUAACAGCACUAAGAAUUAAGGAUAUUUUUAAUAUAUAAGCCUUGGGGGAAUAUUCGAUAUCUAAGCAUUAAUCAUGUGCCUUUUGCCAGUAUCACAUUUAACCCUGAUGUUUCUUUGUUGAAUUUUAAUCUUUAUGGCUUGUCCAUUUAUGAAAGUGGACACCAAUAUCUCGAACUCUCGCUGGUUUUGAAUCUACUUUCCCUUUUUAUCUAACAACACUUUCUUUACAUAGUGUGUGUGUGUGUGUGUGUGUGUGUCUGUGUGUGUGUGUGAUAUGUGAAUUUUUUCCUGGAACAGUGCAACAGUGCAAGCAAGUACUUAUUCAUCGCAGAUAAGGCAUAGCUAUAGACCGAAGUGUGAUUCCACUGUAGACUGAUGUGGAAGACGAGUGAGUUUAUGGGCUUUCACACAGAACAUGGGUAAGCUCGAGCCAGGAACACCAAUAGAGAACCUCAGACAGUGUGUGUGCACAAUGACUUUCACAUAGGCACACCAUGCCGUUCCCUUUCCACUUAACUUUACACAGUCUGUACUCUCACACCAUCCAAGGACUACAAGCCACUGGAACAGAUGUCAGUGGUGAGGGACACAGUGGCUUAGACCACAGGUGACUAUCUAUUUGGCCUUCUCCACUCUUCCUUUUAAGAUAGUGUCAACAGGUGCAAUCAUGAAAGUGUCUUAGAGGUGACCACAGCUGCUUCUGAUGAGGACAGUAAUGGCGACUAUGCUCAGGGUCAGCUUUCUACUAUGGCUUGGAAUGGUUCUUUCUUUGUAUUCAGUUGCUCCCUCUCACUUUAUAGAGUGGUCUCCUUUAUCUUGUGUUAGUAGGUCUUAUUUGACACACAAAAUUAAUAUAAAUCAUGAUAAACACUAAAGCCUA